CCUGGACCUGUGAGGAUGGAACAGCUGGAGAAGCGCAGGUCCAAAAGGCGGCGGGCUACGAUUAGGCCUAGAGAUAGGAAACAAUUGACGGUAAGCCGUAUGGAUCGGAGAGCUUCGUCGAACGUUGAAGCUUUGAGGAGGCAAUUGUCUAGGUGUCUGGAGACCUAAGGACCAGAGGGUUGCCCUUGAGUCCUUCAUUGAAUGAAGCACAUCAUUCGUGGUGGAGGCAAACAGUUUUUCACCGUCAAAGGGAAGAUCUUCAAUGGUGCUCUGAACCUCUCGAGGAAAGAAAGAGGAGGAGAGCCAUGA